UACUGUUGUGGAAUUGGAAGCGAGUUGUUAUCUUUGGUUAUCUAGCUGUAUGAGUAUUUUGCACUUCAUAAAGCUAGAUAACCGAAAGUAAAAACUGCCUCCUGGCUCAUCGAAACUCUG
rnacentral:precursor_RNA from 8 species